GAUUAACGCUGGCGGCGUGCAUAACACAUGCCAGUCGAACGAUGAAACUCAUUAGAUUUCUUCGGAAUGAAAAUGAAUGGAUUAGUGGCGAACGGGUGAGUAACGCGUGAGUAACCUGCCUUACACAAGGGGAUAGCCUCUGGAAACGGAGAAUAAUACCCUAUGAAACCAGACAAUCGCAUGAUAAUCUGGUCAAAAUGUUUAGUGGUGUAAGAUGGACUUGCGUCUGAUUAGCUAGUUGGUGAGAUAAAAGCUCACCAAGGCAACGAUCAGUAGCCGGCUUGAGAGAGUGUACGGCCACAUUGGGACUGAGACACGGCCCAGACUCCUACGGGAGGCAGCAGUGGGGAAUUUUGCACAAUGGGGGAAACCCUGAUGCAGCGACGCCGCGUGAUUUAGAAGGCCUUCGGGUUGUAAAAAUCUUUUGUAUAGGAAGAAAAUGACAGUACUAUACGAAUAAGGGCCGGCUAAUUACGUG
rnacentral:rRNA from 1 species